rnacentral:lncRNA from 1 species
CUGUGGCUGCCAGACUCCAUCGGCCAGGGAGAUGCGUUUUGUCCUUUGGACGCUGACAACAAGGCCACGUUUCCGAGCCUGCUGUCUGCUUCAGUGUUUCUGGCUGUCCACCAGGUGUGGAGCGCAGGCAUCUGGCCCGGUCUGCAGCAGCUGACAGGUGACAGCUGAGCAGGAUUCAGAGUUGCACUUCUCCAGGGACACCAGCCCACCACUACUGGGCAGACCCAUCGGCCGUCCUGGUACAGAACGACCGUGCUCUGCUGCCAACUCCGCCCACUGCCUUGUGACCUGAAGCCGCUUUCCCCAUCCUGUUUGCUCUGUUGUUCUGGGCAGAUUCCAUUCCUGGAAAGGCCUGAAGCAAAGCUCUGUGUGCAGGGUAGCAGUGCUGGGACCAUCCGGUAAGGAGCAAGCCCUGGUCCCAGGCCGGAGUGAGGAUUUGCUGUGAGCUGUGGGACCCAGGGCCCCUCUCCCUCGAGCCCUGCAGCUGCUCACGUCACCACACGGAGCCUCUCUGCAUGGAACAAAACUCCCUAUCCUCUGAGGGCUCCUGAUGCUAUCGUCUGUCUCACAGGAAACCCUGACGGAGGUCUGGGCAGAACUUUCUGACCUUGGCUACCGAGGGCGCUGUCGGGAGCGGCAGCCUUCACUGCUGAAGGAUGCUCAAGCUCUGCCCCGAGCACAGCCUCAGGCCUCACAAGCCCCAGAUCCUCCAGCAGUGAGAACAGGAAAGGUGGGGGCCGAGGAAAGGGCACACCAAUCAGGCAGACAAGUUCAGGUCCCUCCUGUUCCUUGCAAAUCCACUUGUGGUAGGAGAGCAGUGAUUCAGCUCUCCGUGGUACUAGUCUCUGAACAGCGCCCUGUGCGACUGGAGAGCAGUUCUCAAGGCUCCUGACCUGCUGCCCCUGGCCCCAAAUCACUACUGUGCCCAACUCUGCCAGCCCUUCUCACACUGGUGCAGGUCCUGAGGUCCCGCCCAGAGCACACCCAUGCCAGACUGGGAAUGGGGUGCUGGCCAAACCCCCUUCCCGGAGGACCACAUGUACCAGCAGUGCCUCUGGUCAUCAUGGGCCCCUCUUCCUCCAGUUCCGCCAGCCUCCUGCUGAGGAGACUCAGCUCCGGGAGCAAACCGGAACGGCAGGGCUGUGACCCCGAGCUGAAGCGGAGUCGCAGCCCAAACCCGCUGUCACUUCUGACCUUAGCAUGUGCUGCAUGGUUUUUGCCCAAGUUUUUAUACUUUCUUUUCUGAUACCAUUUAGUUUGGACUGCUGUUAAAAUCCAAGCAUAUCCUGAGCACAAGGGAGGCGGGAACUGGGACUCCAGCCAGGGGCGGGGAUGUCCGUGCAGCCAGUCCACAGUGGCGGAGAGUGGCCGGCCCUGACCAGCGGGGCCCGGGCCUCCUGCCCCAGCACCCCCAGUGUGGCCCUGUCUUCGGUUCCCCCACUGCCCCCAG